rnacentral:lncRNA from 1 species
GCUGUGAGUAUAUAGUACUUAAUCAAACAUUUCAUUUUACUUUCGGAAGAUUGGUCAAGUAUAUUAACAUUUCAAAAUGAGAAAUAUACAUGGAACUAGAAUUGUAUAUAUUUCAUCGUCAAAUUAGAAUAAUCCAGUGCUUAGGAUGCAUUCCUUGAUCCACCAAAUUUCCUUGACAAACUUAUUUAGGACAAAUUUCUGUAGUCGAAGUAACUAUGUUGAAGACCUAGCAAUCGUCAAUUAAUUACUAUCCUUUUGUUGUGUUUGAAGAGGUCGCACUUGGUGCGAUGACAAGUGCCUUCGCCCAUGAGCGGUAGGUCUCGGGUUCGAGACUUGGGAGCAGCCUCUUCAUAAAUGGGGGUAAGGCUAGCCGACAUUCACCUCUCCCAGACCCUGCGUAAAGCGGGAGCCUUGUGCACUGGGUACGACCUUUUGUUGUGUUUGAAUCACUAGGCAGCAAAGGCAGCUCUGGUAAACUUUUAUGAGACCUUGAGAUUAGAAGUAAAUCAUGAGGUAGGGAUAACAAUUGCAACUCACGGAUGGAUUGGAAGUGAGAUGACAAGAGGCAAGUUCAUGCUAGAGGAGGGCGCCGAAAUGCAAUGGAAAGAAGAAAGGGAGGUACUGGUUGGUCGAUGGCUUUGAUAUUUCAUUAUGUUAGCCCAAUGAGGCAUGCGCCAUUGCUAGUUGCUCUGGUUUUCAAACCCAAAGCAGACAAAUUAAGAAACAGUACUUCAAAUGUGCUAUAUAUAAAUGAAACAUAUUUAUAUUGUUGUAG